CCUACGGGAGUCAGCAGUGGGGGAUAUUGGACAAUGGGGGUAACCCUGAUCCAGCGACGCCGCGUGAGUGAAGAAUUAUUUCGGUAUGUAAAGCUCUAUCGGCAGGGAAGCAAGAAAUGACGGUACCUGAGUAAGAAGCCCCGGCUAACUACGUGCCAGCAGCCGCGGUAAUACGGAGGGGGCAAGUGUUAUCCGGGAUUGCUGGGGUGAACGGGGGUCUGGAGGGUAAUGGAAGUCUAGAGGGAAAGGCGGGGGCCCACACCCCGGACUGCUCUGGAAACUGGGUAACUGGAGUGCCGGAGAGGCAGGCGGAAUGCCUAGUGUAGCGGUGAAAUGCGUAGAUAUUAGGAGGAACACCAGUGGCGAAGGCGGCAUGCUGGACUGUAACUGACGUUGAGGCUCGAAAGCGUGGGGAGCAAACAGGAUUAGAUACCCCAGUAGUC
rnacentral:rRNA from 1 species